rnacentral:rRNA from 1 species
UUCCUACGGGAGGCAGCAGUAGGGAAUAUUGCUCAAUGGGGGAAACCCUGAAGCAGCAACGCCGCGUGGAGGAUGAAGGUUUUCGGAUUGUAAACUCCUUUUGUUAGAGAAGAUAAUGACGGUAUCUAACGAAUAAGCACCGGCUAACUCCGUGCCAGCAGCCGCGGUAAUACGGAGGGGGCAAGCGUUACUCGGAAUCACUGGGCGGAAAGAGCGCGUAGGCGGGAUAGCAAGGCAGAUGUGAAAUCCUAUGGCUUAAACAUAGAACUGCAUUUGAAACUGUUGGUCUAGAGGAUGGGAGAGGG